rnacentral:rRNA from 1 species
UACGGGGGGAGCAAGCGUUGUUCGGAUUUACUGGGCGUAAAGGGCGCGUAGGCGGCGCAACAAGUCACUUGUGAAAUCUCCGGGCUUAACCCGGAGCGGCCAAGUGAUACUGUCGUGCUAGAGUGCGGAAGGGGCUACUGGAAUUCUCGGUGUAGCGGUGAAAUGCGUAGAUAUCGAGAGGAACACCUGCGGCGAAGGCGGGUAGCUGGGCCGACACUGACGCUGAGGCGCGAAAGCGUGGGGAGCGAACCGG